rnacentral:lncRNA from 10 species
UCUCCUGCAUCUUCUUCCAUGAGUAGAAGCAGCCUGAGACCCUCACCAGAAGCAGAUGCUGGUGCCAGGCUUCUUGUACAUCCUGCAGAGCCGUAAGCCAAAUAAACCCCUUUUCUUUAUAAAUUACCCAGCCUUUAUAAAUUACCCAGCCUUAUAGCAACAUAAAGUAGUCUAAGACAAGGCCCAUAGAAGAUUACACUGUAUCAGGGAAGUGUCACUGAGGCAGAGAAAUUUACUGAUCCCAAAUGCCAUGUGCUUCUUUAAAUUCCCAGUUACCUUGCAGCUAGGGCACAUGACUGUUUCUGACCAAUUAGCUGUGACACAGAACACUUCCGAGUCACUUUUGGGUGGAAUCAUUGAAGAACCAGCAGGCUAUCUUUUUCCUUGCUGCAGGCACAAAGAUGAAUUCCAGAUGGCAUCAACUCCACCAGCCUGGGUACUUGGGUGAUUGUAUGGACCAAGUCUCUCUCCCUUCUCUCCCCCAUACUACACUGGCAUGAGAAAUAAACUUUUGUGCUGAAGUCACUAUGGUCCAGUGGUUCUCAAACUUUGCUACUUACUAUAAUCACUUGGGGCCCUUUUAAGAAUCCUGGUGUUCAAAUAUCUGGGGAUAGGAUCCAGGCAUCAGUAUUUUUUUUAACUCCUCAAGUGAAUCCACUGUGCAGCCAAGGCUGAUAAUCAGUGACCUACUCCAUUGGUUCUUAAAGUGUGGUCCCAUCCAGCAGCCUCAGCAUCACUUGGAACUUGUCUGAAGUGCAAAUUUUCAGGCCCUGUCCCAUCCCAGACCUACAGAUUCAGAAACUGGGGGUGGGGUCCCACAGCUUGUGUUUAAUAAGCCCUCCAGGCAAUUCUGAUGGACAGGCAAGUUUGAGAACCAGUGGCCUGGACUAUCUAGAGUAUACAGGCAUAUUUCCUCAAGCUGGUUAAACUGAAGAUGAAUUUACUAACAAAAAUAAGUAGUGGUUUUGUUGUAACAAGGGAUGUCCCCACUCUUAAGAAACGCUUCUUUACUUGGAUUCACCUUUGGAAAUAUUUUCACAUAUGCUUUUUAAAAAAUGAUUGCACUAACUCAAAUGAAUAUUGGGGGGAAAAUACCCUAGGACUCAAAGUAUUUCAUGGGGCCAGGCACAGUGGCUCACAUCUGUAAUCCCAGCACUUUGGGAGGUGGAGGAAGGAAGAUAGCUUGAAGCCAGGAGUUUAAGACUAGCCUGAUUCUGGGCAACAAAGCGAGACCCUGUCUCUACAAAAAUAAAAUAAAAUAAAAAUUGGUCAGGCAUGGUGGUACAUGCCUGUAGUCCCAGCUACUUGGGAGACUGAGGUAGGAGGAUUACUUAAGCCCAGGAGUUUGAGGUUACUGUUAGCUGUCAUUAUACCACUGCAUUCAGCCUGGGGGAUAGAACAAAAUCAUGUCUCUUAAAAACAAACACAAAAAAUUCAUUCAUAGGUAGUCACAGUCAGUAGUUCUCAGACUUUAAGAUUUCUGAACACAGUGAUUUUUUUUAAAUGUUGGAAGCACCAAAAUAAGGUUGAUAAUUAAUUUUGCAAUGCAAGAAUAGUUUUUAAAAUUAAAACUAACACCAUUACAUUCAUGAAAUGAGCUUUUAACAACAAAGACUAAGAAAUGAUAUAAUCUCCAAAUAAAGAAAAGUCCAUGAUAGUACUAUUAGUAACUUGACAUUUCACAGUCCUCUGUUUUCCAUUUUGCUCAGAUUGAUGAAAUCUUUGACACACAUAGGUUCUGGUCCUCAGCCAGUAUCUUGGAACCACUGAACUAGGUGACAAUUAAGGCCAACUCCCUAUUCCCCAGGACAUUAUGUAAUACCCAAAGGCUUCCAAAUUGUACCAGAAGUGGAAACCUCUAAGCACUAAGCACUGCUAUAACUUUCAGCAUCAAAUUGUUGCAACUCACAAAUUCUACUUCUCCCCACAUCUCAGUUCCAAACAGGCCUCAAGGCUUAAUGUCUACAAAAGAAUUCACAUACUUCCCCAGUCUUUAGUACCAAAAAUAAUAACUAAGCCAGAGUAUGCUGUUACCAACGUUCAAAAGUAAGGCCCAUUUAUACAGACAGAAGUCACACCCUGUGUAAACCACCACCCUCUUCCCAGGAUGACCCCAUCACAAUGCUAAAGGGACAGAGAACUUCCCUCCCAGGGAACAAGUUACCAAGUACAAUCUCAAUAAUUUUUUUGUCAGUUUCAGUUAUAAGUUGGAUGGAUUGUCUGGGAGCCAAGUAUGACAUCUUCCCUCUUGGGCAAGGCUUGAAAUUGGUGCUCACAGACGGGAUCAUGAGAAUAAAGGGCAUAGAGAGGCCAGUUGAGUGAUUCAAAGGGUGCCGAGUCCAGAUUUCUGUCCCAGUAUGUUUUGCCCCAAUAAGCACUACCUCAGAUUUAUUCCUCUGAGCCUUGCAGGAUUUGAAGGUUUCAGUGAUUGCUACUGAAGAACAAGUUAUGUUCUAUGAGCAGUAAUUCCAUUAAUUCCUCUUUGAGCAUGCAGAUUAGGUCUUACGUUUAUAUCACUGAUGCCUGCCCCAGAGCAGGUUGCCAGGAACUGCAAGCUGAAUGGCUCAAGUAUACCCAGGCUGGCAGUGGACCAGCAUGACGGGAAGCAACGCAUUGAGCUGAGAAUGGGCUUCUCUUGGGGAAAUUAAAGGCAGGACUAUUCUGAGAAGGUUGGUGAGCCUGUCUUCAGCUGCUAAGAGCUAAUCUCAGGGAUUAGGAUGCAGGCAUCCUAGGAUAAGAAAUAUUUGAGGAUUAUCUGGGGAGAGGGCAGAGAGGUCCAAAGACAGAAAGCACAGAUUAUUCACCUCUCACAAUCGCCCUUUCAUACUGAGCUGUGAUUCCUCCUUGUGCUGGGAGAACAGGAGCCUAGAUUGUAUCUCCCAGCCCCAUGGCAAGCUUUUGCAUGUGCUUGAAGCUGGAUCGCUAAAGUCAUUAUUCCUUUCACUGAGUCCUCACAGAAUUCCUUUCAAAGCUGGAAAUUGCAGUCUGAGAGAGGCCGGGUCAUUUGGUGACCAUCACACUAGGACCCCAUACCACAGCCACUCAGCUUGUGGCAAGUGCAAGGCUUCCAGCUGUGCCCCAGUGACCCCACCCCCAUCCAAUGUGAUUAUGAUCCACAUCACAAUCCGCACCACCAGAAAGGGGACAUGAGCAACGCAUUCCACUUUUUAUGGAAAUCAUCAGUGGCCAUUGACCAUGGUAACUCUAUCUGCUUAUUACUUCACUGAAACCAGAGUUUCAGUGCUAGUGGUUAGAAAUGCUGGGCUGGGAGCAGGUAGGAUGUGGAAGGAAGAAGUUAAAUAAUUAAAUAGAUAUAAUACCUUUGUUUUAAACAAUCCCUUUAAUUUAGAUAAGAUAACCAUAAUCUUUUAUUUCCAGAUAGUCUUGAUGAUAAAAUGCAAAAAAAAAAAAAUUAAGGAAAUGAUUCAAAUGGGUAGUUGCACAUUGGAAAUUUUAAUUUGCCCAAACGCCCAAAUGCCAGUUUGCUGCUGACCUGAGGGUCCCCCUGCAUUCCCUGAUGGCUUUGGCAUAGGAUCUCUUUUUCUUCCCUAAGGCUUUAGCUUCUUUCCUCCAUUCACAGGAGCCUGAUCCUGGAAAGCAAAGAAGUAGGCAGAGAUUGCUAGUGGGCACUGCUCACCCCAGAGCCCAGCUUAAGUACACUGUUAUAACUAAAACUUGAUUAUGGAAAGUCAUGAGUAAUUUCUGUAUUAUAACAAUUAUGGGACUCAAAGCCAGGACUCACUCCCUCAGUCAGUUCUCACGCUGAUUUCAAGGGCUCCCCAGGGAAUAUGGUUCUAAGUUCGUUUGUGGGAAAAGACUCCCUUCUUGAGGUGGCAUUUUGUUUCGUGACCCCUGCUGGACCUAAUACCGCCCUGAGGAGAGAGGCAAGAAUCAUCACCAGGUUGGCAUCCAGUCCUCCAGCUCAGAGCUCAAACUUAGGUGAGGCCCUGGGGUACCUAGACCAGUUAAGGGAAGAGAAUUUGGGCCAUCCAGGGCCUUGGAAGCCACCCAGAUCCCUGGGAAGUCCACAAAAGACCAGACAUGCCAAGGCCGCCCCGUUCUGCAGCACAGAUGGAGAGUCCUAGUCUUUGGAGUCAUCUAGGCUCAAAGGGUUACCACGUGUUCAGAAGGACG